rnacentral:rRNA from 1 species
UACGUAUGGUGCAAGCGUUAUCCGGAUUUACUGGGUGUAAAGGGUGCGUAGGUGGCGUGGCAAGUCAGAAGUGAAAACUGCGGGCUCAACCCGGAGACUGCUUUUGAAACUGUCACGCUGGAGUGCAGGAGAGGAAAGCGGAAUUCCUAGUGUAGCGGUGAAAUGCGUAGAUAUUAGGAGGAACACCAGUGGCGAAGGCGGCUUUCUGGACUGUUACUGACACUGAGGCACGAAAGCGUGGGGAGCAAAC